rnacentral:rRNA from 1 species
CGGAUUGGAGUCUGCAACCCGACUCCAUGAAGCUGGAUUCGCUAGUAAUCGCGCAUCAGCCACGGCGCGGUGAAUACGUUCCCGGGCCUUGUACACACCGCCCGUCAAGCCAUGGAAGCCGGGGGUGCCUGAAGUGCGCUGCCGCAAGGAGCGCCCUAGGGUAAAACCGGUGACUGGGGCUAAGUCGUAACAAGGUAUC